rnacentral:rRNA from 1 species
AGAGCGUUGGAACCACCUGAUCCCAUCCCGAACUCAGCAGUGAAACGAUGCAUCGCCGAUGGUAGUGUGGGGUUUCCCCAUGUGAGAGUAGGUC